CAAAAUCAUUCAAAAGUUUUAUUUAGUUUUUGUCAUAUCUUAAAACUUUUGGCAGUUCAGAAGAACUAAAAAAAUUGAAGAUGUAAUUUUAAAAUUUGAUUGCUGUGAAAAUUUCAUGCUCAAGAUAAGACAUGUAAUCUUGAUUAACAAAUUGCAAUUUUGGUAUUUAUUCUAUAGAAAAUGACAAUCCUAGAAGAAUUCACCCAACCCAUUAACCAACUCUCUCAAAAAAGUUUGUUUGUUCAGAAUGAGAUUCUUUCCUGCAAUGCUAGUUUAGUAUAAACCUCUAACUUCUUUAUUCUACUUGAAAUAUGCCAUUAUCCUGGUGACACUGAUUUUCUCAUGCUAAUUUUUGUAGUGACGGGAAAAGUCACAACCAAG
rnacentral:misc_RNA from 1 species